rnacentral:lncRNA from 1 species
GGGCCAGCGGUGGUUACCUGGAAAGCAAAUUAGCUCAUAAGGGUAAGCGUCGUACAAAGCAACCCAACAUUUGGAGCGUCAAUUUCCAUGCUUUGAGCCCAAAGGACCCUGAUCGCCGCGGAGAAGGAUGUAUCAACUUCAUGUACAUCCUGGUGGAAGAAAAAAAUCCUCAUGAAAGACAGAAGAAAAUGGAAGAAUCAGUAUCCCUGAAGCUGUUUAGGGUGAAUCUGAGGUCACCCCUCGACUUAUUUCCUAAAUCGAAAAAUUACUUUGAACUUUGGCCUGGUGAUCAAAAGCCAACAUUCAACCAAUGGACUUGGGUCUCUCUGUGCACAAUGGUUGAUGGACCAUUCAUGCUCGAGUUCAGAUCGAAUUUCCGGGGCAGAAACAACCGAGACUCAGCAAGAAUUGCCAGAUUGGAAGUGAGAUACACGCCAUGCACAAAUCCAACAAACUCAAAUGCCCGGUUAUAUUUUAACGUCCGAUCACGAAGACAUGGUUCAUUUGCAUCCUUUAAGGAAUUCCCUAGAAACCCCUCAAUGGGGUCCCUAAAGGAAUUCUUCAGAGCCCCUUCAUCAGAGUCCUUGUUGCGAUCGGGAUCAGCAUCGCCCUCACGAAUGUCGUCUCCGUCGUCAUCCUUCAGAGAUCAAGAUGAACCCCUAGAUUAA